CAGCAGCCGCGGUAAUACGAAGGGGGCUAGCGUUGUUCGGAUUUACUGGGCGUAAAGCGCACGUGGGCGGAUUGGUAAGUUAGGGGUGAAAUCCUGGAGCUCAACUCCAGAACUGCCUUUAAUACUGCCAAUCUCGAGUCCGGAAGAGGUAAGUGGAACUCCUAGUGUAGAGGUGGAAUUCGUAGAUAUUAGGAAGAACACCAGUGGCGAAGGCGGCUUACUGGUCCGGUACUGACGCUGAGGUGCGAAAGCGUGGGGAGCAAACAGGAUUAGAUACCCCUGUAGUCCCUGUCUCUUAUAC
rnacentral:rRNA from 1 species